GUUCGGGUGAACUGUGGUUAAGGAACUCGGCAAAAUGCCCCCGUAACUUCGGGAGAAGGGGGACCCUAUGGCGUGAACACCCAUUUGCGGUGGGAAGCGUUGUGGGGUCGCAGAGAAUAGAGGGAAGCGACUGUUUAUCAAAAACACAGGUCCAUGCGAAGACGUUAAGUUGAUGUAUAUGGACUGACGCCUGCCCGGUGCUGGAAGGUUAAGAGGACCGGUUAAUCAAGCUUUGCUUGGUGAAGCUGAGAAUUUAAGCCCCAGUAAACGGCGGUGGUAACUAUAACCAUCCUAAGGUAGCGAAAUUCCUUGUCGGGUAAGUUCCGACCUGCACGAAUGGCGUAACGACUUCCCUGCUGUCUCAACCACAGGCCCGGUGAAAUUGCACUACGAGUAAAGAUGCUCGUUACGCGCGGCAGGACGAAAAGACCCCGGGACCUUCACUAUAGCUUGGUAUUGGUGUUCGGUUCGGUUUGUGUAGGAUAGGUGGGAGACUAUGAGACGUGUGCGCCAGCACG
rnacentral:rRNA from 1 species